rnacentral:tRNA from 1 species
GCAGUGGUAGUUCAGUGGUAGAACACUUGCCUUCCAUGUGGGAGACUCAGGUUUGAUUCCCGGCUAGUGCA